rnacentral:tRNA from 1 species
GCCUGUGUGGCUCAGUGGUUGAGCGUCAGCCCAUAAACUGGGAGGUCACAGGAUUGAUUCCUGUUCAGGGCA